CGGGGCGGGUGGCGGGUUCAGGGCGGGCGAAGCCGGCCCAGCCGGUCCCGUGCUCGGCUCGCAGGCGGCCGCCGGGCCUGUGUCAUCCACCAGGAAUUUCUGUUUUCCCCUCCGCGGGGCUGGAAGAAAAAACAAUAAUUAGGGUGACUCUGACGAUUAAAGACGCAUAUUUUUGAUCCCAUGAGGACCCUAAACGCAAGCCAGCGACUUUAUCUGGUGCUCAACUGAAGAUAUAGCCACAUUUUCCCACAUUGGAGGAAGACUGUUUUGGACUUACUGAGAGGUACUAAGUCCGGGUACUGUACCUAUGAGUGACUGAAGACAUUUUCAAGGGGUCGUCUGGACUUAGCACAUUUAUCUCCUUCACUCCGACCUUAAGACAACCCCCACUGUGAAGGACAGGAUGCCAGGACAGGGGCACCUGCCUGAGUCAUUUGGAGGAUGAGCCGUGAGACUGGGAAGGUGGACAGCAUCGGGGUAUAAAGGAUCUUGCGGGUUAUGGUACCGACUUCAGACUUAAGAGAACCAGGGAGCCAUGGUUUACAGCAGGGAGGUGGGGGACAGGAUCUGAUUUCGGAAAACUUAAUAGCUCACAAUAGCCACGAUUUAUUUGGCUCCUAUUACAUGCU
rnacentral:lncRNA from 1 species